AUGUCAUCGACAAGUUUCAAAAAUAUCUCGUCCACAUUGAAGUUAUCCUUGGCACUUGCUUCACAGAACCGCAUCCCAGUGAUCUGCUGUGCAAACUGAGAAGAAACACACACCUAUUUCCUCUGUGUGGGGCCUCACAGACCAGCGUGCGAGCAUGAGAAUGAAUUUAAAGGAGCACGAAGUCAAAAAAGUGCAAACAAAUUAGGAGGAUGUGACUGAGUUAUCACUGUAUUGAUAAUUUCUUUGUAAUUUUUAAAAUAAGUAAUUUAUUAAAAGAAACAGUACCUCAAGCGCUAAGCACAGUGUGUGGCAACCGUGCCUCCCACGCCCUCUCACCUUUUCCCCCUGCUGCCUGGUGAUUUCUCUGUCCGUUUCACAGUCCAACUUAUUUCCAACUAAGAGAAGCUCUGCAUCUUCUGAAGCAUACUGUGGAAUUUUAAAAGAAGCCACAUUUCAAAGAUGGGCAUCGCCAUAUACUGACAGCAGAAAUAUAAACCGAUACAGUAUUUUUCGCUAAUUUACAUUUGUCCAUUCACUUCCACUGUCUUUGAGGUUCUACCAGUUCCCAGGCAGGACUGGGCAGCAGUGCAAGGCAGGGCUCACUGUGUCUUAGAAAGAACUAGGGCACAGGCAUUAAGAACCACAAUGCUCUUGGCUGUUGACCCAACAAUUCCCAAGACCUCUUCCUAAGGAAAUGAUUCAACAUACAGGCAAAGCUCUACACUCAAAAUGGUUAUCAACUGAAAAACCUACAAGUCAAACAAAAUGGCUCAAGAAUCA
ensembl:lncRNA novel transcript, antisense to RAB12